rnacentral:rRNA from 1 species
GCAAGUCGAACGGUAACAGGAAGCAGCUUGCUGCUUUGCUGACGAGUGGCGGACGGGUGAGUAAUGUCUGGGAAACUGCCUGAUGGAGGGGGAUAACUACUGGAAACGGUAGCUAAUACCGCAUAACGUCGCAAGACCAAAGAGGGGGACCUUCGGGCCUCUUGCCAUCGGAUGUGCCCAGAUGGGAUUAGCUAGUAGGUGGGGUAACGGCUCACCUAGGCGACGAUCCCUAGCUGGUCUGAGAGGAUGACCAGCCACACUGGAACUGAGACACGGUCCAGACUCCUACGGGAGGCAGCAGUGGGGAAUAUUGCACAAUGGGCGCAAGCCUGAUGCAGCCAUGCCGCGUGUAUGAAGAAGGCCUUCGGGUUGUAAAGUACUUUCAGCGGGGAGGAAGGGAGUAAAGUUAAUACCUUUGCUCAUUGACGUUACCCGCAGAAGAAGCACCGGCUAACUCCGUGCCAGCAGCCGCGGUAAUACGGAGGGUGCAAGCGUUAAUCGGAAUUACUGGGCGUAAAGCGCACGCAGGCGGUUUGUUAAGUCAGAUGUGAAAUCCCCGGGCUCAACCUGGGAACUGCAUCUGAUACUGGCAAGCUUGAGUCUCGUAGAGGGGGUAGAAUUCCAGGUGUAGCGGUGAAAUGCGUAGAGAUCUGGAGGAAUACCGGUGGCGAAGGCGGCCCCCUGGACGAAGACUGACGCUCAGGUGCGAA